UACGUAGGGCGCAAGCGUUGUCCGGAAUUAUUGGGCGUAAAGAGCUCGUAGGCGGUUUGUCGCGUCUGCUGUGAAAUCCCGAGGCUCAACCUCGGGCUUGCAGUGGGUACGGGCAGACUAGAGUGCGGUAGGGGAGAUUGGAAUUCCUGGUGUAGCGGUGGAAUGCGCAGAUAUCAGGAGGAACACCGAUGGCGAAGGCAGAUCUCUGGGCCGUAACUGACGCUGAGGAGCGAAAGGGUGGGGAGCAAACAGG
rnacentral:rRNA from 1 species